GACGAACGCUGGCGGCGUGCUUAACACAUGCAAGUCGAACGGAAAGGCUCCAGCUUGCUGGAGUACUCGAGUGGCGAACGGGUGAGUAACACGUGGGUAAUCUGCCCUGCACUCUGGGAUAAGCCUGGGAAACUGGGUCUAAUACUGGAUAUGACCUUUCUCCUUAUGGGGUUUGGUGGAAAGUUUUUCGGUGUAGGAUGAGCCCGCGGCCUAUCAGCUUGUUGGUGGGGUGAUGGCCUACCAAGGCGACGACGGGUAGCCGGCCUGAGAGGGUGAUCGGGCUCAAUGGUACUAAGGUACGGACCAGAGUGCUACAGGGGACAGUAGUGGGGAGUAUGACACAGUGGGCGGGAGCCUGAUGCAGCGACGCCGCGUGUGUGAUGACGGCCUGCUGGGUAUAAACCGCAGUCGGCAGAAACGAAGCGGAAGUGACGGUACCUACAGAAGAAGCACCGGCUAACUAUGUG
rnacentral:rRNA from 1 species